UACGAAGGGGGCGAGCGUUGUUCGGAUUUACUGGGCGUAAAGGGCGCGCAGGCGGCUCAUUUUGUCAGGCGUGAAAGCCCCGGGCUUAACCUGGGAACUGCGUUUGAUACGGAUGGGCUAGAGUUCGGGAGAGGAGAGUGGAAUUCCCAGUGUAGAGGUGAAAUUCGUAGAUAUUGGGAAGAACACCGGUGGCGAAGGCGGCUCUCUGGACCGGAACUGACGCUGAGGCGCGAAAGCGUGGGGAGCAAACGGG
rnacentral:rRNA from 1 species